AUUGAACGCUGGCGGCAUGCCUUACACAUGCAAGUCGAACGGUAACAGGUUAAGCUGACGAGUGGCGAACGGGUGAGUAAUAUAUCGGAACGUGCCCAGUCGUGGGGGAUAACUGCUCGAAAGAGCAGCUAAUACCGCAUACGACCUGAGGGUGAAAGCGGGGGAUCGCAAGACCUCGCGCGAUUGGAGCGGCCGAUAUCAGAUUAGCUAGUUGGCGGGGUAAAAGCCCACCAAGGCAACGAUCUGUAGCUGGUCUGAGAGGACGACCAGCCACACUGGGACUGAGACACGGCCCAGACUCCUACGGGAGGCAGCAGUGGGGAAUUUUGGACAAUGGACGCAAGUCUGAUCCAGCCAUGCCGCGUGCGGGAAGAAGGCCUUCGGGUUGUAAACCGCUUUUGUCAGGGAAGAAAAGGUUCUGGUUAAUACCUGGGACUCAUGACGGUACCUGAAGAAUAAGCACCUGCUAACUACGUGCCAGCCGCCGCGGUAAAAC
rnacentral:rRNA from 1 species